AAUCGACGCUGGCGGCGUGCCUAACACAUGCAAGUCGAACGCGAAAGGGGCUUCGGUCCUGAGUAGAGUGGCGAACGGGUGAGUAACACGUGGGUGAUCUACCUCUGAGUGGUGGAUAACGUUCCGAAAGGAGCGCUAAUACCGCAUGACGUCCUGGGUUUGAAGACCUGGAAACCAAAGUCGGGGACCGCAAGGCCUGACGCUUGGAGAGGAGCCCGCGCCUGAUUAGCUAGUUGGUGGGGUAAUGGCCUACCAAGGCGACGAUCAGUAGCCGGCCUGAGAGGGCGGACGGCCACACUGGGACUGAGACACGGCCCAGACUCCUACGGGAGGCAGCAGUGGGGAAUUGUUCGCAAUGGGCGCAAGCCUGACGACGCAACGCCGCGUGGAGGAUGAAGGUCUUCGGAUUGUAAACUCCUGUUGAUCGGGAAGAAAGGACUCCGGGUUAAUACUCCGGGGUAUUGACGGUACCGAUUGAGGAAGCCACGGCUAACUCUGUGCCAGCAGCCGCGGUAAUACAGAGGUGGCAAGCGUUGUUCGGAAUUACUGGGCGUAAAGGGCGCGUAGGCGGUCGCCUAAGUCGGACGUGAAAUCCCCAAGCUUAACUUGGGAACUGCGUCCGAUACU
rnacentral:rRNA from 1 species